rnacentral:tRNA from 1 species
GGGGAUGUAGCUCAAUUGGUCAGAGCUCUGGAUUGUCGAUCCAGAGGUUGCGAGUUCGAGUCUCGUCGUCCCCGCCA